GAUGAACGCUGGCGGCGUGCCUAAUACAUGCAAGUCGAGCGAACGGACGAGAAGCUUGCUUUUCUGAUGUUAGCGGCGGACGGGUGAGUAACACGUGGAUAACCUACCUAUAAGACUGGGAUAACUUCGGGAAACCGGAGCUAAUACCGGAUAAUAUUUUGAACCGCAUGGUUCAAAAGUGAAAGACGGUCUUGCUGUCACUUAUAGAUGGAUCCGCGCUGCAUUAGCUAGUUGGUAAGGUAACGGCUUACCAAGGCAACGAUGCAUAGCCGACCUGAGAGGGUGAUCGGCCACACUGGAACUGAGACACGGUCCAGACUCCUACGGGAGGCAGCAGUAGGGAAUCUUCCGCAAUGGGCGAAAGCCUGACGGAGCAACGCCGCGUGAGUGAUGAAGGUCUUCGGAUCGUAAAACUCUGUUAUUAGGGAAGAACAUAUGUGUAAGUAACUGUGAACAUCUUGACGGUACCUAAGCAGAAAGCCACGGCUAACUACGU
rnacentral:rRNA from 1 species